rnacentral:rRNA from 1 species
GAUGAACGCUGGCGGUAUGCUUAACACAUGCAAGUCGAACGGUACCUUCGGGUAUAGUGGCGGACGGGUGAGUAACGCGUGAGAAUCUAUCUUCAGGUCGGGGUCAACAGUUAGAAAUGACUGCUAAUACCGGAUGUGCCGAAAGGUAAAAGAUUUAUUGCCUGAAAAAGAGCUCGCGUCAGAUUAGCUAGUAGGUGGUGUAAGAGACUACCUAGGCUUCGAUCUGUAGCUGGUCUGAGAGGACGAUCAGCCACACUGGAACUGAGACACGGUCCAGACUCCUACGGGAGGCAGCAGUGGGGAAUUUUCCGCAAUGGGCGAAAGCCUGACGGAGCAAUACCGCGUGAGGGACGAAGGCUCUUGGGUCGUAAACCUCUUUUCUCAAGGAAGAUUCAGACGGUACUUGAGGAAUAAGCAUCGGCUAACUCUGUG